rnacentral:rRNA from 1 species
UACGGAGGAUGCGAGCGUUAUCCGGAUUUAUUGGGUUUAAAGGGUGCGUAGGCGGUUCGUUAAGUCAGCGGUAAAAUUGCGGGGCUCAACCCCGUCGAGCCGUUGAAACUGGCAGACUUGAGUUGGCGAGAAGUACGCGGAAUGCGCGGUGUAGCGGUGAAAUGCAUAGAUAUCGCGCAGAACUCCGAUUGCGAAGGCAGCCUUCCGGCGCCCUACUGACGCUGAGGCACGAAAGUGCGGGGAUCGAACAGG